rnacentral:tRNA from 3 species
GCGGGUAUAGUUUAGUGGUAAAACCUUAGCCUUCCAAGCUAGUGAUGCGGGUUCGAU